UUGGUUAAAGUUAAAGGUAAGCAAACAUAUUUUUUUAAGGGAAGAACAGCACUUAGACAAUAAAUGCCACUUAUCAUGCUGCAUGCACAGCUCGCUCGAUUCAUGUGGUGGACUUUGGCUUAUUGGCAGACAGAUAGUCCAACGUCCCUAAUUAACAUAUAUUAAUAGAAGGUAAUUAAGAAAGAAUAAGGAAAAAAAUAAAAAAAAUAAUGGCUGAUUGGUACGAACGAUGUCAACGGAAGCGCGCUGCUGUGACCAAUGGCUGUUCUCCAAGCUUUAGCCAAUGUUGCAAAGCUGUCUUAUCUCUUUAGAUUGGAUAAGCUAUUAAUCUACCGUUCAUAGAUAUAUUAAUGCAGCCGUUUGGUGCAAGUGGCUACGCACAAUGCUUUGCAGCCAAAAAGGUUUCUGGGAUUACUGCAUACAGAUCAUAAAAAUUUGCUGAUAAGGGAAACGCGUGAUCCUGAUCAGUUCACAUCAUCAUCUUUGCUUAAUUUUUUAUAUAUCUUUUAUUUGGCCAGUUUUGGUUACGGUACUGUUCAAUGUUUUCUGAAAUUAAGUUGUAUUUUUAGGAUUAAUUAUUAUCGCUGUGAAUGGGUUGACAGUACUAGACACAAGUUCUAAAUCCAACGUCCACGGUCAAAUUAACUUGUUUGAACAGACUCAGUCCCCCACCAUAUAGCAUUAAUUCAGCCUUAGCCCGGUUUACCCGAAAUCUACUCUAGUCUGUUUUCUCAAAGCCACGACAUAAACAACCGGUACUUAAGACAUUUAAGAAUAUAUAUAUACACUCUCUUCUUUCAACGACUACGUACGUACGUGACACUAUUAGCUAGCUAGCUAUAUAUAGAUCUCUUUUAUUAUUUAAAAUCUGUAUAUUAAUAGAGAAGGACGUAGCAUGACCGGCUAUACAUAUAAAAUUUACUUACCUAAAAAAAGAAGAACAUUAUAUAUAUAUAUAUAUAUAUAAAUAAUUAGAUCUUCAUAUAUAAUUUGGCAGCCAUAUAUAAAAUAUGUAUGAAGAAACUAGUACAUGAUGAAUAUCUAGGGGCGCUUUGGCUCUUGCUGUCAACGAGCUAGCUAGGUUGUUGACCACUUAGAUGGCCGGGUACAAUGAUGGAAUUCUGAACAGGUGUCAAGAAACUUCAUUUCUUGGAAGGAGGAAAUUAAGGUAGUACGUACGAGACACAAACUUCAUGGCAAGGUCGGCGAUUCUUCCUCAGAUCAAUCAAUGCAUCAUGCUUGGUAAACCCUAUCAGGAGAAGAUCAAGAUCACGCGUCAAUAUAUUAUAUUAUAUAGUUGAGUCUUGUAAAGUUCUAAAUGUUGAAGAGUUGUUCGAUCUGAUCUAUAUACAUUGACACUAGUAUAUUUAUUUAUUAAUAAUUAAUCACUAGAGCUGGGGAUUAAUGUUGAACCGCUCAUUUUCCGUUGAAUUGGUCGUUGUGAAUCUCGCACUUACUUUUUUGUCAGGCUAGCUGCCCGGAAAGAUAAACAGAUGAUCUCUGCCCUGAUCAACAUUUUCUAAAGGUUACAAUCGUUCCUCCUCGUUA